rnacentral:rRNA from 1 species
ACUCCUACGGGAGGCAGCAGUAGGGAAUAUUGGUCAAUGGACGGAAGUCUGAACCAGCCAUGCCGCGUGCAGGAAGACGGCCUUCUGGGUUGUAAACUGCUUUUAUCAGGGAAGAAUAAGCUUCUUGCGAGAGGUGAUGCCGGUACCUGAGGAAUAAGCACCGGCUAACUCCGUGCCAGCAGCCGCGGUAAUACGGAGGGUGCAAGCGUUGUCCGGAUUUAUUGGGUUUAAAGGGUGCGUAGGCGGCCUGUUAAGUCAGUGGUGAAAGGUAUCAGCUCAACUGAUGACGUGCCAUUGAAACUGGCGGGCUUGAGUACAGACGAGGUAGGCGGAAUUUAUGGUGUAGCGGUGAAAUGCAUAGAUACCAUAAAGAACACCGAUAGCGAAGGCAGCUUACUAGGCUGAGACUGACGCUGAGGCACGAAAGCGUGGGAGCGAACAGGAUUAGAUACCAUGGUAGGCUCUGCU